rnacentral:lncRNA from 1 species
CCGGAAUCUCCGGGAUGAGCCGGAAUUCCCGCCUGAUCCGGCAUUCCCGGGGCUCCCCGAGGCUCUGGGAUCCAGCCCAGCCCUGGGAAUUCCCCCUUUUCUCCUCCUUUCCCCCUUUUCUCCUCCUUUCCCCCUUUUCUCCUCCUUUUCCUCCUUUCCCCCAUUUUUCCCUCCUUUCCCUCCUUUUCUCCCCUUUUUCCCCCCUUUCCCCCCCUUUUUUCCCUCCUUUCUCUCCUUUCCCUCCCUUUUCUCCCUCCACUUUUCCCCCUUUUCCUCCAUUUUUCCUCCUUUUUUCCUCCUUUUCCCCGUUCCCUCCUUUUCCCCUCCUUUCCCUCCUAUUCCUCCCUUUUCCCUCCCUUUUUCCUUCCUUUUUUCCCUCCCUUUUCCCCCCUUUUCCUCCUUUUCCUCCUUUUCCUCCCUUUUUCCUCCCCUUUUCCUCUUUUCCCCCCUUUUUUUCCUCUUUUCCCCUCCUUUUUUCUCCUCACCCUUUUUCCCCUUUUCCCUUUCCUCAUUCCCGUCCUUUUUCCCUUUUUCUCCUUUUCCCCCCUUUCCCCCCCAUUUCUCUUUCCUCUUUUCCCCCUUUCUCCCUCCUUUUCCCUCCUUUUCCCCCUUUUCCUCCCUUUUUCCUCCCCUUUUCCUCCUUUUUUCUCCCUUUUCCCUCCUUUUCCCCCCUUUUUUCCUACUUUUCCCUCCCUUUUCCCCCCUACCCCCUUUUCCCUCCUUUUCCCUCCUUUCCCCCCUUUUCCUCCAUUUUCCCUCCUUUUUCCCCCCUUUUUUCUCCUUUUCCCCCCUUUUCCCCCCAUUUCUCUUUCCUCUUUUCCCCCUUUCUCCCUCCUUUUCCCCCUUUCUCCCUCCUUUUCCCUCCUUUUCUCCCUUUUCCUCCCUUUUUUCCUGCUUUCUCCCCAUUUUUCCUCCCCCUUUUUCCCCCUUUUCCCCUCCUUUUCCCCCUUUUCCCUCCUUUUCUCCCCUUUUCCUCCCCUUUCCUCCAUUUUUCCUCCCCCUUUUCCCCCCUCCCCCCUUUUCCCUCCUUUCCCCUCCUUUCC